rnacentral:rRNA from 1 species
UCUGUUUUAUAGAUUUUAAUUAAAGGCUUUUUUCAAUUUAGUCUUUAAAAAAAUAUUUUUUUUUUAUGUUUCAGUGUUGUAAAUUUAAAAUAAUAGUUAAAUAAUAUAAAGUUUUAAUAUAAUACAAAUUACCUUUUGUAUUAGGGAAUAUUUAAUUUUUGUAUUAUUUAUUUUUCUCGAAAAAUAAAUAGCUAUAAUAAUGUAAAAAGUAGUAGAAUUUAUUUUUGAAUACUUUAUUAUGGAGGAGAAAUUUUAUUUCGGUUUAUUUUAUAUCUAGUUUUUUUUAAAAUAAAUUUAAUUUAACUUUAAUAAUUUAACUUAUUAAUUUAUAAUGUGUUAUAUAUUGAGGUUAAUAUUUAAAGGGAUAAUCUUUUAAAUAUAUAUUACUAGCAAUUUUAUUUUAAUUAAAUUAUUUAAUUUAAGCUCAGAAACAGCUACUUUUAAAGUAAGUUAAAUUUUAGAAUCUUUUAAUUAAUUUAUUUUCUGAUAAAUUCUAGUUUUAUUUUUAAAAGUUUGUAUUUAAUUAUUAUAUUUUUAGCUAUAAUGAUAUUAUGAUUAAUAUUUUAUCUUUUAUUUUUUUAUUAAUUUAUAAUAAAUUAUAUGAACUCGGCAAUAAUAAAUUUGAAUGUUUAACAAAAACAUUUCUUUUAAUUUGGUUUUAAAGUAUAGUCUGCCCACUGAAUUUUUAAAGGGCCGCGGUAUUCUGACCGUGCAAAGGUAGCAUAAUCAUUAGCCUUUUAAUUGAAGGAUUGAAUGAAUGGCUUAACAAUUUUAUUCUUUACUUAAUUUAUAAUAUGAAACUUAAUUUAUAGUAAAAAUUCUGUAGAUUUCUCAAAAGACGAUAAGACCCUAUAGAUCUUUAUUAUAAUCUGGAACACGCAAUUUGGGGGAAUUGCGUGUUCCAGAUUAUAAUUUUAUUGGGGCAAUAUUUAGAAUAAAAAUAAUUUCUUUUUGUUAUUUAAUUAAAUUUUUAAUCCAAUGUUUUGAAUUUAAAAAGUUACCUUAGGGAUAACAGCGUUAUAUUUUUGGAGAGUUCUUAUCGAUAAAAUAUCUUGCGACCUCGAUGUUGAAUUAAAGUUUCUGGUUAGGGCAGCAUUUAAUUAAGAUAGUCUGUUCGACUAUAAAAACUUUACAUGAUUUGAGUUCAAACCGGCGUAAGCCAGGUUGGUUUCUAUCUUUGAGAAAAGUCUAGUUUUUUUAGUACGAAAGGAUCAAACAAUUUUAACAAUUAG